rnacentral:tRNA from 1 species
UCCGGCGUGGUCUAGUGGCUAGGAUACCUGGCUUUCACCCAGGAGGCCCGGGUUCGAUUCCCAGCGUCGGAA